CCCUUCCCCUGCGCAUAGAUUACAUCUGAUCACCACGAGGUCUAUAAAAGAAGACGAGUCCAUCCUCCCGACCACUAUCCGCCACCACACGUCUAGUACACACCCUGAAGAAUGUUGCGAGCCACGCUGUGUCUUGUAGUGCUGAGUUUGUUGGCGGCGAGCUUGCAGGCUGACGAGGCGGAGGACAUGCGGCGGUUCGUCGCGAUGUUAGAGAUGGUCAUGAACAACUCCCCUCCGGGAGGGCCGCGCAUGUCCAAGUCGGUGAUGGCCAAACUGUGCGAACGUUUCCCCAUCCAGUGCAGCAGGAUCGGAGAGGGGACGUGGACAGGGAAUGGUCCCAACCUUGCGUGGCCUAGAUUUGGAUAGACUGAAGUCUUAAUUUUAAAGAUACCCAAGGAUGUGCACUUUGCUGCCUCAAGUAUGACAACAGACGCCGAGAAACAGAGUUAAUGCAUAUGUACAACGUUACUUCAAAACUUUGCCAGUUACUGUUCUUAUUAGCGGACACAGUGUACACAGCCACACACAAGAGCGCUGCACUCUCACGACUCAACAUUCAGGGAACCACCACUGAAGAUCCCCACAAUUAUAGACAGAACCUUUGAUAAAACGUCGGCAUCAUUACAUGGUACUAUCUGUACCGGACGUUUGGUAUCAACUGCCGUUAAAAACCUUCUGACUAGAUGAGUUGGACCUCAUUUUAUGGACUGAAUCAAGCAGUAUUCAUGAAUAGUUCAACUUGUAAUCAUUGAAACGAUGUCGGAGCAAACCUGUUUACUGCGAGUAGAAUAAACCAGAGG